AGGAGACUCGGGCCGGGCAGGUUGUACUUCACAUUGUUUCCCUUGAUUUGAGUGUGAGUUGUGCGGACAUUGCUAGCGGAAUCCCUUAAAUUUUCAUAUUUGUAUUCCGAUAUUCGUGGAUUACUCAUGUUAUAGUCAUACUAAGAUGGCGUCCCAGGAUGGAGAUCAUGAUGGAUAUGUUCCCGGUCCUUAUACAUCAAAGAAAAUUAUCCAAAAGUGGUUGUUUUAUGGCGGUGGUAGAGUCGAUGUGUGUGAGGUUGACCAAGGUAAAGGGAAUAUACCUUUACCCUGAUGUUGACAGUAGCGACCAAGGAGGCUAAAGACUUUAUUAUCUUCUCUGGUAACGACUCAGUGGGUGAUCUACAUUAUAUACCUGAGAAAGACUUAUUCUGCUGAGAGAGGCGAUGACACUGAUAGUGCGAGGUAACGGACAAACCUGGAAACGUAAUGUGAUGUAUAUACAAAGAAAAAAAAAAAAGAAGGUGGGGGGGCGCCAAGAAUGUGUUACCUGGCAACAUAAAGUUGACACUACAUGGCGUUGCUGGCACUCAGUACCUACGUCCUUCACUACCGAUGGGGACUCCAAGAGACUGUUCCAGCUCAUGGGGUGCUUAACGGCGUACGUGGUGGCGGGAAGCGUCUUCAGUCCUGUGUGAAAUGGCGUGAAUCAGUAGAGAACGCCUCGCCUGAGUAGUCAUCGCACCUUCCUGCACUUCAGUUGCCUGGGCGCGGGGCGUGGAUGGCCAUUAUGGGACAAGGCAUCGUGGGCGGCAGGAUGAAGCAAUAGUACUAUGACUAUCAUCUGAAAUGCCGUUAGUGUCAGUGGAUACUCCUUUAUGAUCCCUGCUGCUUCGUAUCAUGGUGCGACUCGCCCACCGUUUUCUUCGCGCCUCAGGUCAAUGCCAGGACAGGACGUCAUCUUGUAGACAGGAGAGAGCCACUUAAGGAUUUUAGAAAUCAGCCACCACACACCCUUUCAAAAACCCAUGUGCUGCAAGCAAAAGACAGGGAGGAGGAGUGAGGAUUCAAAGUGAUAUAUAUCUGCUGUAACACUGAUGUCAUGGCAUACAUCUCCGUGGUGAAGUUAUGAAUGCGUCCAGAGAAAAGCGUAAUAUUUAUUAUCAGUAUUGCUGAAGUAUCUAAGUAUUUGCCGCUUUUAUAGUUUGAUAUUGUUUUGGAUGGUAUUCUGCUGUGAAAGGGGCCUGUAAUCGGUGUCUGUAGUGAAAUUGUACUAAAUUGUGAAAGGGCCCUGUGAGGCCCUGUGAUCGGUGUCUAUAAAAUCUGUAAUCGGUGUCUAUAUAAAAUUUGUAUAGUUA